rnacentral:miRNA from 1 species
CCCAACAUUUCACAGUCCUUUUCUAUCCAAGAAGAGGUGUAGGGGGAGGAACGCCCUGGAAAAAAUUGUCACUCUGUGGAGAUGCGGGCUGCUGGGUUGCUAGGUU